GGGCUACACACGUCAUACAAUGGCUGGUACAGAGGGUUGCCAACCCGCGAGGGGGAGCUAAUCCCAUAAAACCAGUCGUAGUCCGGAUCGCAGUCUGCAACUCGACUGCGUGAAGUCGGAAUCGCUAGUAAUCGCGGAUCAGCAUGCCGCGGUGAAUA
rnacentral:rRNA from 1 species